UACGGGGGGGGCAAGCGUUGUUCGGAAUUACUGGGCGUAAAGGGCGCGUAGGCGGCCUUCUAAGUCGAACGUGAAAUCCCCGGGCUCAACCCGGGAACUGCGUCCGAUACUGGAAGGCUUGAAUCCGGGAGAGGGAUGCGGAAUUCCAGGUGUAGCGGUGAAAUGCGUAGAUAUCUGGAGGAACACCGGUGGCGAAGGCGGCAUCCUGGACCAACAUUGACGCUGAGGAGCGAAAGCUAGGGGAGCAAACGGG
rnacentral:rRNA from 1 species